rnacentral:rRNA from 1 species
AUUGAACGCUGGCGGCGUGCUUUACACAUGCAAGUCGGACGAGUGGCGAACGGGUGAGUAACGCAUCGGAACGUACCGAGUAAUGGGGGAUAACUGUCCGAAAGGACAGCUAAUACCGCAUAUUAUUCGAGCGGCCGAGGUCUGAUUAGCUGGUGGGCGGGGUAAAGGCACACCAAGGCGACGAUCAGGAGCGGGUCUGAGCGGAUGAUACGCCACACGGGGAGUGAGACACGGCCCAGACUCCUACGGGAGGCAGCAGUGGGGAAUUGUGGACAAUGGGCGCAAGCCUGAUCCAGCCAUGCCGCGUGUCUGAAGAAGGCCUUCGGGUUGUAAAGGACUUUCAGCGGGGAGGCGUUACCCGCAGAAGAAGCACCGGCUAACUCCGUGCCAGCAGCCGCGGUAAUAC